rnacentral:rRNA from 1 species
UACGGAGGGGGCUAGCGUUGUUCGGAAUUACUGGGCGUAAAGCGCGCGUAGGCGGCUUUGUAAGUUAGAGGUGAAAGCCCGGAGCUUAACUCCGGAACUGCCUUUAAGACUGCAUCGCUAGAAUUGUGGAGAGGUAAGUGGAAUUCCGAGUGUAGAGGUGAAAUUCGUAGAUAUUCGGAAGAACACCAGUGGCGAAGGCGACUUACUGGACACAUAUUGACGCUGAGGUGCGAAGGCGUGGGGAGCAAACAGG